rnacentral:misc_RNA from 1 species
UUUUUUUUUUUUUUAUUUUAUUUAUUUUUUAUUGAGAAAUCCUAUUAUUUAAUAGUUGUAAAGAGUCAAACAAGACAUAGCUCAUUUCAUGGAUGUUUAAGCUUUGAGCUUACAUGUGUUGGGUUCUGUUUAUAGUUCUUCAGGAUUAUUGUUUGAUAUUUUUUAGAUGUUCCUUUUAACAAAUCUAAAUCUAAUUUUUGUUCAAGCAUUGUUGAUUAUGGUCAAGGUUCUAAUAAUUGCCCAACUGAUGGUGGUGGUGGCCUUUAUGCCAAAGUGUUGGUUGUGGCACUUGAUUAGAAUUACUGAUGGUGGCCUUUCACACCAAUUAAUAAUUAUAAUUUCCAUACACGAGUUAUUCUUAGAGCCACUUUUGUCUCUAUAUGGUGGUGCUUGUAUGUUUCCCAGUAGAUAUCUUGAGCUGGAUCUAGUUCAAGAGAUGUUGGUACCCAGGUGAAUACUAUUGUGCUAAGGAAAUGAUGGGAGCUGGGUCUAGUUUCCCACUUCAUGGGACAGGUUUAUGUGCUUAUAAAUUUCGUUAGUUAGGUUGUGUCCACGAUACAUGACAAAUUAUAAGUUGAAAAUCACCUAGCAAAUGUCAAUUAUAUUUAUGUUGACCUAUGGAUGGCUGAAUGUUCAAUGGCUUAUUCAAUAGGGCAUGCCUCAUUCAUUUUGGAAUGGAGUGUCCACAAAAAUAGCUCUUGUGAUGUUUGAAAUAUUUUAUUAUUCCUUUUUCCCCAUUUGUUUGACUAAUAUUUCUUUAUCAUUAACAGGUUUUAAGCAUGAGUAGAUUGGGCGG